UAAUACGUAGGUGGCAAGCGUUGUCCGGAAUUAUUGGGCGUAAAGAGCAUGUAGGUGGAUACUUAAGUCUGUUGUGAAAAUGCGGGGCUCAACCCCGUAUUGCGAUGGAAACUGGGUGUCUUGAGUGCAGGAGAGGAAAGGGGAAUUCCCAGUGUAGCGGUGAAAUGCGUAGAUAUUGGGAGGAACACCAGUGGCGAAGGCGCCUUUCUGGACUGUGUCUGACACUGAGAUGCGAAAGCUAGGGGAGCGAACGGGAUUAGAUACCCCGGUAGUCCUAGCCGUAAACGAUGGGUACUAGGUGUAGGGGGUAUCGACCCCCCCUGUGCCGGAGUUAACGCAAUAAGUACCCCGCCUGGGGAGUACGGCCGCAAGGUUGAAACUCAAAGGAAUUGACGG
rnacentral:rRNA from 1 species